AAACUUUCAACAACGGAUCUCUUGGCUCUGGCAUCGAUGAAGAACGCAGCGAAAUGCGAUAAGUAAUGUGAAUUGCAGAAUUCAGUGAAUCAUCGAAUCUUUGAACGCACAUUGCGCCCGCUAGCACUCUAGCGGGCAUGCCUGUCCGAGCGUCAUUU
rnacentral:rRNA from 3 species